GACUUGUCAGUAAGCAGUCCUACCGGCAUAAGAGUUUAACCCAUUGCGCCACUGUGACACAGUAUAGGUGACACCUGGUUUGACAACAGUUCACAUGAAAGGCAUCUUGGAGUGUUAGUAGACCACAAGUUGAACACGGUCCAACAAUGUGAUGCAGCAGCUUAAAAGAAUAGGGGAUUUUGGGCUGCAUCCAAAAGAAUAUAGUGUCUUGAUUAAGGGAAGCUUUUGUGAGACCUCAUCUGAAAGAACACUGUGUCCCAUUCUGGGCACCACAAUAAAAGCUGGAACAUAUCCAGGUGCCAUUUCUGAUUGUAUAUAUCAAUUAAGAAAUCGUUCUGACUGUGACCAACCGGAUGUCUCUACAAAGCAUGGAGCAUGGAGGCCAUAGCCCUUUCCCUUUCAAACAUCCAACAGGAAUGUAAAUGUACUUUAAAGGUUUUCUUGUACCGUAUAUUCUGGCGUAUAAGACUACUUUUUAACCCAAGAAAAUCUGCUCAAAAGUCAGGGAUCGUCUUAUACGCUGGAAUGGUCUUAUACACGGGAGUAGUCUUCUAGAGCGGGUGCUGAAACUUCCAAUCGGAUUGGAGAAUCUGUGGUUGCCGCAUAUGGUGGGGGGAGCUCAAAAAUGGCAGUGGCCGUGUCCCUGCCGUAUGCAGCGACUGUAUGAAAGCAUUAAGGGCAACGCUGCACAAGUACAGUAGAGGAAAAUCCAUAAUGCGGUCCCAAUGGUGAGCUGAAGGGGCACCUCACCAGGAAGGUGUAAAUGAAGGGCGGAGCAAGCUGCAGGCAUCCGAGGCACCCAGGGUAUGGAAGAAAGAGAUAGAGUGGCUCUGGGCCCAGACAAACCGUCAGGUUUUACAAUGUAUUGUAAUGUAAUAUAGCUGAGUCAUGCACUGCUAAUGGGCUUCUAUUGGAAAUGCUGAGUCAUGCAUUAACUGUAUAUAGGGAAUCAUUUGGGGAAUGUGUUCUGGCCUAGUCCAGGUGAUUGUGAAUUAUGUAAUCCUGGGUUUGAGUUAAGUCAAUGAGUUGGGAACCAAUCAGAGAUUGCUAUGUGUAAUUGUAUAGAAUUGUAUAUAAGGAAGUCAUAUACAGUGUAUAUUUCUCCUUGUGCUGUGAUGUUGUUCGUCGAAGGCUAUAUGUAAUUAAAGAACCUGUCUGUUAAGAACCUGUCUGCUAUAA